AUGAUCCGCGCCCACCUGCCUUUGACCCAGCGCUGCACGGGACGGGCUGGGGGGCGCUCCCAAGCAGGCCCGGGGCCCGCACCCUCACCCUGCUCACUGCCGCGAUCUGACCGCGCCUGGAGUCACUGCGCCAAGGGCGUGUCCCGACGGCUGCACUGCGGGGGCGGUCGUGGGGAGGGGGACCGGGGGGCACGCGCGCUGGGAUGGGGUCAGCGGCGCCCUGCCGAAUCUCCAGGGCUGAGCAUCCCUCCCUCAGCCGCACUGCACCUGCCCGCAGGUGACCGACCCUCGGGCGGACCCCCAGACCCAAUCCUUUCCAGGAGCCGGGUGGGAUGGGCAGGGGCAGGAGCCGGCGGCCCUAUAGGCCCCGGGCGAAGGCAUCCAGAGCUCCAGCAUCCCUCCAGUGGUCGCACCGGACCCGCCCCCAGGCUGACGGACCCUCAGGCAGACCUUCACGCUCAAUCCAGUCCGGGGCGGAUUAAGGCGUGGGAGACAAGGGAGCCGGUGGCCCCGCUGGCCCCGCUGGCCCCGGGCCGGAGGCGUCCAGCCAAGUCCACAGGGCCGAGCAUCCCUCCCCGGGCCUCACGGGACCCGCCUGCUGAUGGACCGACCCCUGGCGAACCCCCAGACCCAAUCCUUUGCCUGACAUGGAGAGCCCCCGCCCCUCUCCAGGUUCAGGAUCUCCACAACCCCGCCGUCCGGGGGCAAUGCCGGGGUUCCUCUCCGCGCCCCGGCUCCGGCGGCGGCCCCCACUCGGUCCGGUUGCCGGCAGCCCCGCGAGCCGCCCGUUCCCGACACCCGCAGCCGGCAGGGCCGCCCCGCCACCCCCCCCCCACCGCGCGGCCGGGCCUCACCGAGUCAGCAACGGAGGGGCGGCGGCGGCGGCGGCGGCGGCGGCGGCGGAGUGAGCGAGCGGCGAGCGGACGCCGGGAAGGAGGGCCGCGGGUGAGGCCAAGCGCACCCGACGCCGGCGGCUGCGGAUUGGCUGAGGCGGACCCGGCCGUGGCGCUGGGGGGCGGGGGACUCCGGGCGCUCGGAGGGAGGGCCGGUCCCGGGCGUGGGCGGGGCGGGGCGCGGCGCGGGCGGGGCGCGGAGGGGAGGGAAACUGAGGAUCGCGCAGGUGCUCGCGCUUGA
ensembl:lncRNA